CCGGCCCACCCGCAGCCCGUGCGGUCCGCUCUUUACGCGACGUGACGACGCGCAUCGCGUUUUGCGGCUAGGUUUGUUAUUUUUCGUCCUCGCCUUAUCCCUUGGCCGCUCCCUCUCCCUCUCUCUCUUCCCCUGGUUUCUGGAUCUCGCCAUGGAACCCCCCUCCUCGACGGAUCUCGCCGGCGGACGACCGACCGCCCUGGCGCAGGUGGUGUCUCGCCCUGCCAGUCUGCCAUGCGCCGGGCGCCGGCACCUGUUCCUUCCACCGGCGGACUGUGAACGCGCCGUGCCAACAUGCAUGGCGGAGCACGUACCCUACUGGUGAAGAGGGAGACGCUGCUCGCCGAGCGGCGUGCCUCGGCACACCAGACACGAGUCUCGCCCGUUGCCGGCCCUGACCGGCGGCUUACACCUCCAGCUCUCCCGUACCUACGGUCAACCGAAGCCGAGACCAAGGCGCGUUGAUCUCAAUCUUCCUGUUCGUUUUCAAUCCGAAGGUGCAGGUUUCUUCAUGGAUUGCCAGUUCGCCGCGUUUGAUUUUGCGUGUCAGACGAGAGAAAGAAUAGAAAAUAGGAAAAUAAAACUCGGUUCUACUACUGAACCGUAAGUUCAGUUUAUUUUGUUCGAAAAGAAAGUGUUUGGUCUAUUUUACUCCCUCCGUCCCAUAAUAUAAGAACGUUGUUGACACAACACUAGUGUCAAAAACGUUUUUAUAUUAUGGUGCGGAGGGAGUACUUGUCAAGGAUCGUCAUAUGUCUUUCGUUACUUGAUUUCCUUCACUACUUCCUUUCGUUACUUAUAUUAUGGUUUUCUAAGUUACUCGUUUUUUUUGUAAGUUCAAUCUUUCAAUUCCUUUUUGAUUAAACUGUAUCCUUUUUUUUAUGUUAUGGCUGAUGUUUAGCAGGAUUAAGAAUUCGUUCACGCCCCACGAAUCCUUGUUCGAAUGUAGACAUAAAGGUCAUUGCGAGGUCUGUCCAUUGGAUUACCAGUUCCUCGUUCGAUCGUUUUGAUCCCAUGAUGUUCGAGGUUGUUUCAUUUGUGAAAAAUCACUGGCGAGACCCUAAGAACCAUUUUGAUUUUAAGUUCAGUUUAUUUUGUCCAUUCCAAAAAUAAGUAUUCGGUUUAUUUUACUUGUAAGGAAUCGAGUUUAUUUUUACUUGUCAAGGUCCGUUAUUGAAAUUUCAUGGCUGAUUUGUUGUUACAAUCUUUCUUCUUCUUUUUCAAUUAAAUAAACCAUAUCAUUUAUUUUCUUUUUUAAAAUGUUUUUAGAUGUUAUGUCUACUGCUUAACAGGAUUAAGAAUUAGUUCAUGCCUCAUGAAUCCUUUUUCGAGAGUGGACAUAAAGGUCACUGCAAGGUCUGUCCAUUGGAUUACCAGUUCAUCGCUCAAUCGUUUAGAUCCCAAUGAUGUUCGAGGCUGUUUCUUUAUAAAAAAUGUUGGAGAGACCCUUAGAAGAAUAUUGAUUGGAAGUUUAGUUUAUUUUGUCCCUUCUAAAAGAAAAGGCAUUCCGUUUAUUUUACUCGUCAGGAAUUGAGUUUAUUUUUACUUGUCAAUGUCCGUUAUUGAAAUUUCAUGGCUGUUUAAAUUACAAUCGUUCUGCUUCUUUUUUUUAUUAUUAAACUGUAAUAAUUUAUUUUCUUUUUUUAAUGUUUUUUGGAUGUUAUGUCUGCUGCUUAACAGGAUCAAAGUUCAUGUGGACGUAAAAGGUCAGUAGGAGAUUUGAUUCAGUAGAAGUGUCGUCAGAUGGUUCUUCCGACAAGUCCAGACUGGAGUAGUCAGUAUCAGGACUACUAGUAUUUUGGUAAUGGAGCUAUCUAUCUUCUUUCUUUGCAGUCUUGUGUUGUUUUCCCUCUCUCGGGAUCCAAAAAGGCAUCCAUGAAGAUGCUUGCUUGUACACUAGCUAGGAGUAGUCAUGCAUUGUAGGCGUGCAAUGCUCUGUCUGUCUCAACCUGCCAAAGGUUCUCUUCUGAUGGAUGAACUCAUCAACACGACAGCACUUUAUAAUCGGUGGAUUUGUGUGUGGUUUGACCAGUCUCGUUCCCUCCCGCCCGUAUAUCAUUGGUACAAUCUACAAUCUCGUUCAUUCACUCUUAUUGUUUUCUGAACUUAAACAUUUUUGCGUUUCAUUUCAACUUGCUUUUGUUUUUCACUUGUCAUGAUGCUUUUAGGCAACUAGAGAGCCACGUUUGCCACUUCAGAACCAAUGAUUUGCUUGCAAAACCCUCUUAUAUUUUUGGAGCAGAGGAAGUAAUUAUUUAUUCAGGUUUAGCUUAUGAAUUAGCUAGUUGCACGCAUAUGCAUGCUCGCUUUCUGGCUUGGGGUAGGUGGGCUGUUUUAGGGAAUGGUAGCAUGUUCGUUCGUGACUGUAGUUACGUGAUUGGCAAGGGCAAAGGAGUAGUUUACUUAAAAGAAAGUCAAAGGGAGAAACGAAAUUUUCAAGUAGACGCGUCCAAGUACAUGAUAUUAGACAGGUCAGCCCACUAAAAAUUUCUAGACUUAUCUAAUCCUGCUCCAGGAUCUCAAAAAAGGAAGAUCUCAAUCUUUUAGAACCUCGUAUAUAUUUUGUGGUGAGCAGCAGACCCAACUGGGCAAGCUGAGCCUAGACCCAAUGCAGGAUAUCAAACACAACUAUAAGCAAGACCCAGAUACAGUAUAGGAAGCUUAAGCUUCAUCAGGAAAUAGACCACAACACUAAAGAUAACAAACAACAAAGAAUUAAAAGGCAUAUUUGGGUAACAUCUUUGAAGAACCAAAAUUGUAUAAUGCAUAGGUAACAAAAAUCACGGAGCUAUCAAUGUUGCAUGGUUCAGAACGUUUCAUGUCUGAGUGUAGCCAUAUGCAAAGGAAAACAAAACGGCGGUACGGCAUUGUAUUGUGUUUAUUACAACAAAUCAGUGCCUGUUAGUCGACAAGCACAAUGAUUUUGGUAAUAAUUGACUUUGGAGCACUUGGUUGAUGCCGACCAUAUUAUUCCUUGCUUCAGAGUCUGCAAAUGGAAAACAGAUUCUAUGAGAAGUUUUACAAGCUUUCCCCAGUUACCAGUAAUACUUGAAAAACUGAAAGCUGCUGCUAGUCUAAUUUCAUGCAAAACAGUUUUCAACACUAAUCUUUUAUGCCUUUUGUUUAAUAUAAAUUAGGCUAUCCUAACAAUACCCUGAGCAUCUGCAUGUUGUGCAAAACAAAGAUAUAAAAGUCAUGUUAUGAAUUAGAAUUACUAUAAAUCAGUUAGUGAAGUCAUCCUCAGAUAUCCAGUUUAAUGUAAUAUCAACUCUGAUUGAAAAAUAUUGUCCAGUAUAAUCUCUCUAGAUAGUUGCAUCUAUUAUCAUUAUACUUGCUGGCUAUGUCCAAAACAGUACUCAUAUUUAGAAACUGCUUCAAUAUGUACUUGAAAAUACGUUGUAUAUGAUCCUGAUACUUGGGAGAGAAGUCCUGAGCUCCGUCGCCGUGUACGUAGGGUCAAGUUUCUCUCUCUCCGUCUGUACUGACCCCACUGUCAGUGGGUGGGAGAAACUCCAUCUGUGCGGGGCCCAAUUGUCAGCGAGCGCGAUAGAUUAAAAUGCUGAGUGCCGUGGGAGUUUGAACCGUGACUGGACGAGUUCGCUGGUGUGACGCAUCACGCAUGCACGUGCUAACCAUCUGAACCGAUGCUACUUCUUGGAAGAUAUUGAGGGUUCUACUUAUCAAAGAAUUGCCUCGUGGGCCUUCGUGCAUUUCUGUGUAUUACUUCAGGGUUGAAAGCUUAAACACACAGUACUGAAUAAUUCAUUGACCAGAAGGUGCAAUAUAUACAUUAUACACCAAUUGGUGAGAAACCAUAUGUAGAUCUUUUCUAGAAUAUGUAGAAUUUAUAGAAAUAAGGAAUAUAAAUUCUAAAACGAGUACAUCAUUAUGUAGUGCUACAGUAAAGAGCAAAUGCUUAAUGAUGUGCUCCACCCGAUCCAUAUUAAUUCUCUCAAACUAAUAUUGUUCGGAGGAAGUACUUGAAUUCACCAUUAGAGGAGAGAAAUGCACAUGGUUCAUAUUUGAAAUAUAUUCAAUCAACUAAAAGGAAGUCGAGUUAUACUUGACGCAAUAAUCAAACAAGAGGUUAAUUUAUUACUCUGAACAUUUAGAAUAGCAAACUAGCACGAGAAAAUCUACCAAAAAUUAGUCCAGCCACACAAUGAAAAUAAAUAUGAACGUGAAGAAAUAGUCGAAAGUGUGCCUUCACUGAAACAAUGAAAUAUAUCUUACCUAGAACACAUUUAGAAAAAGUUUUUUUCAUAUGUGACCAUUAUUCUGAGUUUCUGACAUCUAAGUAAAGACUUUUCAUGUAUGAGAUAAAAUGUGGUUUCUGACAUCUAAGUAAAGACUUUACAUGCAUGAGAUAAAAUGUGACAAGCUAAAGUAAUUAGUCCAACAAAAUGAAAGAACAUACACUAAUAUGCAAGAAAUUUCUUUGUCUGUUUAUCCCAAUCUAAAAGUAAUGUGCAUCUGUUUAGUACCACCUACAAACAUUAGCUAGGUUGGCUAACACACUCGUCCUGUAACCUGAGGUCGCAAGUUAGAAACUGUGCCAACCAUUUUUAACUUCUUCUACCCGCCAUUUCUUUCGGCAACCCAUGACAGGUAGGUCCCACUCAGACGGAGAUAGAGUGAUGAGCGUGCUAUACAAAAUACGUACGCGGUGAUGGGACUCAGGACUGUUCUUCCAAGUAUCAGGAUCGUACUAAAGCACUUUGUAAGUACGAGGACUUUUUUAGACCUAGGCAUCAAGUAUUCAGUGAUCAAGAUAACAUGAGUUAGUCUGGAUCCUAAAUCUUACUUAAAUUAAAUCUAACAUGCAUCAUAAAUAAAUUCCCAACUGGAGACUUUAGGGAGUAUCAUACACAAAAUGGAGACUAAUUCUGUACAUAUGUAUAGGGCAGUUUACUAUUAAUUUAGACUCAACGAAACAUUCGUUAAUUUCCUAAUUGAUGAUGGUAGCAUUUGAUAGCAUUAAUCUGAUUUAAGAUUUUCCAUGCAAGUGAAUCAUCUACCAGGACUUCAAUUAUACCUUGGUUUACUCUUUCAUUCGCGGAUAUCCGACCUUGCACCAGCCACUCGAUAGGCCUGUUCUGGUCUUCUUUGAUUUCUUUAAUGUUUCAGUAUCCUUAGCCUGCUGGAUCUUUACUACACGGAAAUGAGCUUCAUCUGCCAUUCUGUCCAAUUACCCAAUAGUUUAGUGUCAUCUCUGUUGUUACACAUGCAGCUACAUCAAGAUAAAUGUGACGAUUCUGAAAUUGACACUUACAUGUGUUCAUCAAUGUGCUUUGGAUACUUGCUAAUCCUUAUGUCCUACUAUACAUUCUUUGUAUGGACAUUGGAUGGUCAUUUCGGUGUCUUCUAGAUGCGCCUCCUCGUUGUUUCUGCAGAAAAGAAGAUUUUGUAAUCUCAGUCAGGAACCAGGGAAAAUUCAGAUAAUCUUGCGGCGUCACAGAUCUACAAGGAAAGCUUUUGGUUCUAACUGAAAUAGGGGAUUAGUUCAGACAAACAAAGCUGCUCUCAGAAGAAUAAAGGCCAGCGCUUGAACUGUUCUGCACAUGCUAUUUCACAAGAAUAUGACAACGCUUGCAGUAAAGAGUCCUUCGUUACCUACAUGCUACUAUUUCACAAGCAUAUGGCAGCGCUGUUGCUGCACAUGCUACUUCACAAGCUGGAUGCUUCUGUGCAAUUACUGAGACUAAGGUUCCGAGACAACUGAACCUGGCGACGACUCUAACCAUCCACACACAACGCCAGGAUUUCAAAUCUACGCGGCACUAACCAAUGAGCCCUGGCGUCCUGGCGACAUGGAGGCAUCUGGUUGCUCCAAAAAAGGAAACUGUAAAGAUUCCGAUAAGCUUCGGUUUCUUACCGAUGAGUUUUCGAGUGAGUGGCAUAACGACGGAAGGCAAUCCAAGCCUUGCAUUUCUUACAGUACACCGGUGGCCUGCGGACUUUGCAGAUGCUAUCCCAAAAUUUUGCAAACCCGUCGGGGAUAUUGGACCACUUGGCCAGCGCAGACCCGAUCUCCCCGGCGGCCAUAAAGGCUGCCAUUGCGGGGGCCAUCUGCGCCGGUUCUUCUUUGGAUUGUCGGGAGAGAAGGGACGGUAGGUUCGUCGGCGGCGUGCAGGACGAGUGGAGGAGGAUACUCGCGUGCCCCUUAGGUUAAAACUCACCCUCUGCGUUGGUUGUAUGGGCCAGGCCUUAUCUGUUUUGGACGUGAUGGUUCGACUUUCAUGGUUUGUUUGGGCGCGAGAGCUGUCUUUCGCAUUAAGUGAUAGGGCAGCAGCUGAUUUUUCUUGUCUCCUGUAGCAACUGGGCAAGCCCAAUUUACUUUAAUUAAUAUUUUUAAUACAUUCAAAUUUUUUCAUCAUUUUUUAA